UACAGAGGUCUCAAGCGUUGUUCGGAUUCAUUGGGCGUAAAGGGUGUGUAGGUGGCGCCGUAAGUCGGGUGUGAAAUUUCGGAGCUUAACUCCGAAACUGCAUUCGAUACUGCGGUGCUUGAGGACUGGAGAGGAGACUGGAAUUUACGGUGUAGCGGUGAAAUGCGUAGAUAUCGUAAGGAAGACCAGUGGCGAAGGCGGGUCUCUGGACAUGAUCUGACGCUGAGGAGCGAAAGUGUGGGGAGCGAACAGG
rnacentral:rRNA from 1 species